UGUUCCUCAUGUUGUUUCCCAGUGU
rnacentral:piRNA from 1 species